UGAACGCGAAAGGACCUUACCUAGGCUUGACAUGCACGGAAAUCCUCCAGAGAUGGUGGGUCCGUAAGGGCCGUGCACAGGUGGUGCAUGGUUGUCGUCAGCUCGUGUCGUGAGAUGUUGGGUUAAGUCCCGCAACGAGCGCAACCCUCGUUCCAUGUUGCCAGCACGUAAUGGUGGGGACUCAUGGGAGACUGCCGGGGUCAACUCGGAGGAAGGUGGGGAUGACGUCAAAUCAUCAUGCCCCUUAUGUCUAGGGCUGCAAACAUGCUACAAUGGCCGGUACAAAGGGCUGCGAUACCGCGAGGUGGAGCGAAUCCCAAAAAGCCGGUCUCAGUUCGGAUUGGGGUCUGCAACUCGACCCCAUGAAGUUGGAGUCGCAUAGUAAUCGCAGAUCAGCAACGCUGCGGUGAAUACGUUCCCGGGUCUUGUACACACGCAA
rnacentral:rRNA from 1 species